rnacentral:rRNA from 1 species
AGCAGCCGCGGUAAUUCCAGCUCCAAUAGCGUAUAUUAAAGUUGCUGCAGUUAAAAAGCUCGUAGUUGAAUUUCGGGACUAAUAUGUUGGUCGUGCCUCGGUACGUACUGAUAUUUUUGGUUUCUCCCUUCUGACGAACCUUGAUGUCAUUAAUUUGGUGUCUUGGGAAAUCAGGACUGUUACUUUGAAAAAUUAGAGUGUUUAAAGCAGGCUCACGCUUGAAUACAUUAGCAUGGAAUAAUGAAAUAGGACGUUUGAUUCUAUUUUGUUGGUUUCUAGGAUCGACGUAAUGAUUAAUAGGGAUAGUUGGGGGCAUUAGUAUUCAAUUGUCAGAGGUGAAAUUCUUGGAUUUAUUGAAGAAUAACUACUGCGAAAGCAUUUGCCAAGGAUGUUUUCAUUAAUCAAGAACGAAAGUUAGGGGAUCGAAGACGAUCAGAUACCGUCGUAGUCUUAACCAUAAACUAUGCCGGCUAGGGAUCGGAUGAUGUUAAUUUUUAAUGACUCAUUCGGCGCC